GAGGUGCACAACUGCCUCUAACAGAGGCGCGAACUUUUACACCUACUUUUUGUUUCACUUCGGGUUUGGCGUGGCUUGUGGCACCGCCCAGGAUCGGGUCCCCAGACACUGAUCUUUUCCACAGCCCUGGGGAAGUUACCUCCCUAAGCCCUGUGGCCUCCACCAGCUGCUCUGAGAACUUCAUCCCGGGUUACCAGGAGCUGCUCCCUAGAGUGGCAGGCCGUUGGUGGCGACAACAAUGACAACAAUCAUUCUAAGCGUCUGCGGGAGGGGAUUGUCCUGUGAAGGCUCCAUGAUAAAAAGCGGCGACAAUUGCAGCGAACGGGAGUUGAAAUUAGCAAGAAACCAAGGAGCGCGAAGGCUGGAGGAGCAGAUUGGGCUGCGUCUGCCCUGCGCUCCGUGUUUCUGUCUCAGGCCGUCUGGUUGUCCCUCUUGGCUCGCAAAGUUUGACAAAUCCCGAAGACCAGAAGCCGAUCGCCCCGAGCGUCUCCCACCCUCCCCGCCGCGUGCGCCCCUCUCCCAGGAACCGAUCCCACCAACUCCCAGCCCCGCGCGCAAACUUACGUUUGAUCUGCCGGGGUUUGCUCUGCUUUCGCCGGGACAUCUCGGCCGCGGCCGCUGCCGCUGGGGCUCCCGCGGUGUCCGCGGUCCCUGCUACCGUUCCCUGGGCUGUCGCCGCCUCUGUCUCAGCCGCCGCCGCCGCUGGCCAGGCUCGGGCCGCCGCGGGCCGCCGGACUCCAGUUCCGCCACAGGGAAGCACCGUGGAGCUAAUAAAAGAUUUGAUAUUGUCAUAAUUUUUCAAUCAGGGGAUCAACAAAUUGAUCAAGCAACCUCCCAGGCCAAUCUUAUUAGACAUCAAGCUGCUUUCUUUAUUAUGAAAGCUGUGAAUUUCCCAGUAAGAUAUAUACAAAUAAUUUGAACAGCAAUAGUUUUUUCCCCCUGGAGAAAAAGAGUACCUAGUCUGUGGACUGCAGACACUGAUGCUCUCUGAAAUCCUAGCAUAACAUUAAGCAUCCAAUUCUGAUUCAGAGUUUAUUUUCCUCAGGCCUUUGUCACAAUGGCUAAUGCAAGGUGUAAUCUGACUUCAGAAACUCUACAUAGAGAUGCGAAACUAUAGUUACUGAGCAUCCAUGCAUAUCUUCACCAAACGACCCUCACAACCAACAAAGCAACACAACAUUAAGAACAUAAAAUUCAGAAUAUUUUUAGAUGCAAUGUGGUGAGCUGCCUUGAGCUUCUGUCAACGGGACUUCCCACUAAGUGGGACUGCACACUAGAACUGUGAGCCAAAGAUCCCUUAAAGAUGCUGUUGCCCUCAGACAGCAGGAAGUAAUUUUAAGAACAGGACACCAACAUUUCCAAGAGACAAUGAGAAGUGUCUACUCCUGGCAGCACCAAUCUACUUCAGAGGAGAUGAUGGGCAUUGAAGAAACUCCACAUGGAGUUUACUUUCUUUGUGGCAAAAGUUAGCCACUGUGCAAGAAACUGCCCUUGCUUCAACUGCUAACAGUUUGCUGUCCAAAUUAGAAAAGCAGGACAGAAAAGAAAUUGACUGCCGAACUUUGCCAAGACAAG